rnacentral:rRNA from 1 species
UUGAACGCUGGCGGCAUGCUUUACACAUGCAAGUCGAACGGCAGCGCGGGGCAACCUGGCGGCGAGUGGCGAACGGGUGAGUAAUAUAUCGGAACGUACCCAGAAGUGGGGGAUAACGUAGCGAAAGUUACGCUAAUACCGCAUACGAUCUACGGAUGAAAGUAGGGGACCGCAAGGCCUUAUGCUUUUGGAGCGGCCGAUAUCUGAUUAGCUAGUUGGUGAGGUAAAGGCUCACCAAGGCGACGAUCAGUAGCUGGUCUGAGAGGACGACCAGCCACACUGGAACUGAGACACGGUCCAGACUCCUACGGGAGGCAGCAGUGGGGAAUUUUGGACAAUGGGCGCAAGCCUGAUCCAGCAAUGCCGCGUGAGUGAAGAAGGCCUUCGGGUUGUAAAGCUCUUUUGUCAGGGAAGAAACGGUAGAGGCUAAUAUCCUUUGCUAAUGACGGUACCUGAAGAAUAAGCACCGGCUAACUACGUG